CCAGACUUCAUAGAAUCAUUUCUAUAGUAAACGUCCUCUUCUGAGCUCUUCAAACGAGCCACAGAAUCCUCAACCUGGCUGACGAAAAGAAAUCCUCGGUGCCCUAGAGUGAAACCUUUUUACUCUCGCUGCGUCUGACCAUGGUUCUUCGGAGCCGGGAUGGACAAGAGAGUGGUGAUGAUCUUUGACCUGCGUUUAGGGGCCUGGUUUCGUACCGCCCGGCGCAGCUGGUACUCGAGGAUGACUCUGACAGGC
rnacentral:snoRNA from 1 species